CUGGCGGCGUGCCUAAUACAUGCAAGUCGAACGGUCUUUCUAUGGAAGCUUGCUUCCACUGAGGAGAUAGUGGCGAACGGGUGAGUAACACGUGGGUAACCUGCCCAUAAGAGGGGGAGUAACAUCCGGAAACGGGUGCUAAUACCGCAUAGUUUUCUUGAUCGCAUGAUCGGGAAAGGAAAGACGGCCUUUGUGCUGUCGCUUAUGGAUGGACCCGCGGCGUAUUAGUUAGUUGGUGGGGUAACGGCUCACCAAGACGAUGAUACGUAGCCGACCUGAGAGGGUGAUCGGCCACAUUGGGACUGAGACACGGCCCAAACUCCUACGGGAGGCAGCAGUAGGGAAUCUUCCGCAAUGGACGAAAGUCUGACGGAGCAACGCCGCGUGAGUGAAGAAAAGGUUUUCGGAUCGUAAAACUCUGUUGUCAGAGAAGAACAAGUUGGAGAGUAACUGCUCCAGCCUUGACGGUAUCUGACCAGAAAGCCACGGCUAACUACGUGCCAGCAGCGGC
rnacentral:rRNA from 1 species